UAGAUAAUAAACGGGGAUUUGGUACCCCCUUAUUUUUAGAUGUUAAAUUUGCGCUCGUAAAGUGUGCUGCCUGGGGACUACGAGCAAUUGCUUAAAACUCAAAGGACUUGGCGGUGCCGAGUACCAUUCAGGGGAACUUGACGCUUAAUCCGAUGACCCGCGAAUAACCUUACCUUCCCUUGUCUUGUGAGAACAAGUCAGGCUGUUUAUCCCCGUCUAAAGUUUUUAGUUUGAGCUAGGAAAAAUGUGACUAAAAAAUUUUUUGUGGUUUCUAGGACAGGCCGAGAUGCACUUAAUGGGGAGGGGUUAGUUGAGUUACAAUUACUUGAGAGUAAUGGAAAAGCUUUGGAACAGAGCUUGGAAAGUGGACCUGACAGUAUAGUUAAAUCAGAACGUUAACUAGAAAGGUUGGACCUCGGCGCGUACAAAUCGCCCGUCGCCCUCUUCGAAAGUGGAGGUAAGUCGUAACAUAG
rnacentral:rRNA from 1 species